UACAGAGGUCCCAAGCGUUGUUCGGAUUCACUGGGCGUAAAGGGCUCGUAGGCGGCCAACUAAGUCAGACGUGAAAUCCCUCGGCUUAACCGAGGAACUGCGUCUGAUACUGGAUGGCUUGAAUCCGGGAGAGGGAUGUGGAAUUCCAGGUGUAGCGGUGAAAUGCGUAGAUAUCUGGAGGAACACCGGUGGCGAAGGCGGCAUCCUGGACCGGUAUUGACGCUGAGUGAGCGAAAGCCAGGGGAGCAAACGGG
rnacentral:rRNA from 1 species